CUUGACAAUUUUCCAGACCAUGUACAAAAGACAAACUCUGUGGUGAACCCUACACUAUUUCCAGACAUAUACUAAAGCCAUGAUUAAUAGUUGACGAAAAAUGCAACCAAAAUUCUAUAUGAAGAAUGGAUGGAAACACGGACAGCCUAAACCAGUAUACCCCUCCUUUCAGAGCAGGGAUAUAAUUGGAGAAGUAAUUGUGACUUUUUUUAGUGAAAAAUGCAGAGAUUCUAUUGAUUCUGUCAUUUUUUUUUAUUAAUACUUAAGGUUACAAGAAACAAAACACAUUUAAUUAGAUAGUUAUUCACAGAGAAUGAUACAGAAAAGAUAACAUAAACUAAUCAAUUUAUUAUAGCCUUGCUAGGUAAAAUGUCAACAGCCAAACUCUUCAUCAAUCAAAUACAUGGGCUAAAUCAAUACAGAAUUCCAAUAAUUUAAUUUUCUGGUCACAUUCUUGUUUGUAGCAUACUUGUUUGACAUAGUACAAAUAAAUAACAUGUCAGUUUAGUCCAAAUAUGUCAUGAUCAACUAUUUGUAUUGUCCUAUUACCAAGUUAUGCUUAGAAAUAUAGGCCAAUGUGGCCUCAUUACUUUGUUAAGAAAAUCCAGUUAUGAUCAAUUUGUAGCACAAUAUUGAUUUUGGUGUCCAGUAUUGUCACUGACAGAAAAGAACUAACAUGACAAAAAAUCAAAACUAUCAUGUAUGAUUUUAGCAAGGGGACAAUCAACUAUUGAAAGAAUAUUUCUGUUAAACUAUAGGUUUUCUACAGAGAGGGGGUAGGUUGGGGAAGUUAAACAGUGAUGAUCUCAGGUGCUCUGGAAGGGUAAGCAGAUCCUGCUUCACAUAAAGAAGUAGAUGAGAUAAGGGCCCUAAUGGCCCAACAAUAUCAGGUCAAUUAUUUCAAAAUGAGGUGUUCCAAGUUGAUGAAUACACAUCUAAGAAAGCAUCUCUUAUAAAGUAUUAAAAUUUACCCUCCAAAUAAGCCAAAAAUACAAAUUUUAAUGAAAGUUCAUUGGCAUCCAACCAUUUUUUGUUGUAAAAUAACACAGUGUUAAAAGAUGCUUUGUUGUCAAUAUGCACUAUAUCAUAUAGUGUAUGACUGACUUGACCUUAAAAAAACAUAUGAUACUCUAAUACCAGACAUGAAUUAUAUGCCAAAGCCUGUCUUUUAAAUGUUGAUUUUGAUUUUUUAUGCGAUAUUGAAAACUCUGUUAUCUUAUGUGUAAUGAGAAUAUGGUUCCUCUUUUAGCUAGUUUCCUUUAUUCUAUGCUUACCAACGAAAACUGUUGUAAUCUAGAAAUUAUAUAUGUAUUUUUUGUUCUAUUUACGAAAUACUUUUUACAUGUAAAAAAGUUGUCUUUUUAUGUAUGUAUUAGAUGUCUGUUUUAAUGAUAUUGUCUCAUACGUCGUUUUCGGCUGGCAUCCUUUUACUAAAUGUUAAGUUCUUAUGACUUGAUGUAUAUAUAUAUAUAGAUAUUGUAAUGGAUGGUAACACUUUAAUAAAAUAAAUUAAUUAUCUAUCAUAUAAAA